rnacentral:lncRNA from 1 species
AAAAGAGGUUCCCUUUGGGAGGUGACAGCGUGCUGGCGGUCCUCACAGCCCUCGCUCGCUCUCGGCACCUCCUCUGCGUAGGCUCCCACUUUGGCGGCACUUGAGGAGCCCUUCAGCCCAUCGCUUCGCUGUGGGAGCCCCUUUCUGGGCUGGCCAAGGCCAGAGCCCACUCCCUCAGCUUGCAGGGAGGUGUGGAGGGAGAGGCCCGAGCAGGAACCAGGGCUGUGUGCCGUGCUUGCGGGCCAGCUAGAGUUCCAGGUGGUCGUGGGCUUGGCGGGCCCUGCACUCAGAGCAGCCGGCCGGCCCUGUUGGCUCCAGGCAAUGAGGGACUUAGCACCCGGGCCAAUGGCUGCGGAGAGUGUACUGGGUCCCCCAGCAGUGCCAGCCCACCGGCACUGCGCUGGAUUUCUCGCUGGGCCUUAGCUGCCUUCCCGUGGGGCAGGGCUCGGGACCUGCAGCCCGCCAUGCCUGAGCCUCCCAACCCCUCCGUGGGCUCCUGUGCCCCCGAGCCUCCUCCACGAGCGCCACCCCUUGCUCCACGGCACCCAGUCCCAUCGACCACCCAAGGGCUGAGGAGUGCAGGCGCAGGGCGCGGGACUGCCAGGCAGCUCCACCUGCAGCCCCCGUGCGAGAUCCACUGGGUGAAGCCAGCUGGGCUCCUGAGUCUGGUGGGGCCUUGGAGAACCUUUAUGUCUAGCUCAGGGAUUGUAAAUACACCAAUGGGCACUCUGUAUCUAGCUCAAGGUUUGUAAACCCACCAAUCAGCACCCUGUGUCUAGCUCAGGGUUUGUGAGCACACCAAUGGAGACUGUAUCUAGCUGCUCUGGUGGGGCCUUGGAGAACUUUUAUGUCUAGCUCAGGGAUUGUAAAUACACCAAUGGGCACUCUGUAUCUAGCUCAAGGUUUAUAAUCAGCACCAAUCAGCACCCUGUGUCUAGCUCAGGGUUUGUGAGUGCACCAGUGGACACUCUGUAUCUAGCUGCUCUGGUGGGGCCUUGGAGAACCUUUGUGUUGAUACUCUGUAUCUAACUAAUCUGAUGGGGAGGUGGAGAACCUUUGUGUCUAGCUCAGGGAUUGUAAACGCACCAAUCAGCGCCCUGUCAAAACAGACCACUCGGCUCUACCAAUCAGCAGGAUGUGGGUGGGGCCAGAUAAGAGAAUAAAAGCAGGCUGCCCGAGCCAGCAGUGGCAACCACCUCGGGUCGCUUUCCAUGCUGUGGAAGCUUUGUUCUUUCGCUCUUUGCAAUAAAUCUUCCUACUGCUCACUCUUUGGGUCCACACUGCUUUUAUGAGCUGUAACACUCAGCGCGAAAGUCGGCAGCUUCACUCCUGAGCCAGCUAGACCACGAACCCACCAGAAGGAAGAAACUCCGAACACAUCCGAACAUCAGAAGGAACAAACUCCAGACGCGCUCCCUUAAGAACUGUAACACUCACCGUGAGGGUUCACGGCUUCAUUCUUGAAGUCAGUGAGACCAAGAACCCACCAAUUCCGGACACACCUUGAGGUGGGCACUGUGAGGCAGCCCACUCUUGCUGAGAAGGGAAAACACGUCCAUGAUCCGCCUGAGCAGAGCCCAGGAUGUCCUUCCCUGCCUGGAUUCAGGCCCUGGCCGGACUGGAGUCCCUCUAGGCCCUGGACCUUUGCCCAAUAACAAUGGAAAUAAAUCAGGUACUAAUAUUCCUCUAAUUAUUCUCUGAGGGGUGGGAAUCAACAUUGAAGUGGGAACUUAGCAAACCAAGAGGACAGCCCCCCAUCUCUGUGUGUGACUUCGGCCAAGUGGCUUUCCCUGACCAGGUCAGUCUUCUGGUUUGUGCAAUGAGAAAGUCCCACCCUCUAAUGUUUAAGACUAGGGCAUUCAGGUCAGCAAUCAUCACUACACAGUCACAACCACAACAUAUCACAGCAUCUUCUAGGGUCUGUAAAAGCAUCCACAGUCAUCACAUGCUUCCACAGGGGCCCCCUGCUGAACGAGAGCCAGAAGAGAACUCUUAGCUUCCCUGACCUCUCUUUCAUUCAUACGCUGGAGGUGAAAGUUCUCACAUGAGCCCAUAAACAAGACCUCUUGCUUUGUCACAGGUUCAAGUUCACUCUGCCUCUUACCAGAUUUCCUUUUCUCAUGGUUUUUGCAUGGUCUGCUUAGUAAAACUUUGUACCUUGACAGAGCUCUGUAAUUGCAGGAAUCUAUAGAAUGUUCACUCUGGUGGAUUUAAAUAUGGCGGCAGAAUCUUUGACACGCAUCCCAUUGAGAGCUUCCCCCAGGUUCUGGAACACUCGUUCUAGGAGCCUUUCACUGCUAUACAUAAAGUCUGACUGCCCAGAGUCUGCCAUGCUAGACAGACCAUCCAGAAAGACAACAUAGACAGAAAGAUGCCAGUGAGCCCAGCUACUCCAACCGCCAAUCAUUUGAGUCAUCUCAGCCCAGGCCGCAGACAUGGAAGUGAAGAAGGCUUCAAGGUGUUCCAGUGUAAUGUACAAUUGCCUAAUGAACCUUUAAAAUAAAAUGCUGCCAAUGAGAACUGAGUUUGCCUCUCCUAUAAAGAAAAUGAACUCCAUCAGGCUGGCAAACAGGAACCUCAGCAUCCUAGAUAUUUUUAAUAUGAUGGCUUUCUUACUGCAAUUUCUGCGGGGAAUAAUAUAUAGGGAAAUAAUGUUUCUCCUUUGUGAUUACAUUACCAUAUGGAGUAAUUUUUCUUGACAAGGAGGUCAUUUCAUCUGAUGAGUUCUUGAACAGUGAAAUGGAAGCUUGGUUCUAUGACAGCAAAGGACAGAUUGACUUAUUAAAACCGUUACAUUACAGAUUUUUAUUAGUCGAUUUCCCAUUUGCUCUCUUUGAAAAUCAAAAGCAUGGAUGCAUUUGGAAAGUCCAUCAGAAAAUAUUAAGAAUAAAAAUUAGACAGAAUGGUCAUUAUUGUAAAUGGAAAAAUCAUCUGAAAACUAAGGAUUCUAGAGGCCAACUUUAAGAAUUCUCACGAAGACAUUAUUUGGAGAGCAGAACAGAUGGGGUAUAUUAAUGGAAGAACCAGCCUCACAAGAUAAACAGCCAAAGUUUUAGAAAAAUCACCCAGGCAUCUGAAUUCAAGGCAGGGUGCAAUGGACUGAACAAAAUUAAUUGUCCUAGACACCAAAAACACAGAGGAAAAGUGGCCUAAAUCUAGGAGAGACUUCCAAAGCACUCUGAGAAAUGUUGCUUUACUUUUUCAUCAAAACACCUUUCAGAAGCUGGGUUUACUAUGCGUGUACUCAUAUUUAUUCCUUUUGAUUCAUUCAUUCAUUCAUUCAUUCAGCAAGCCUUGACUGACCCCAUCAAUGUGCCAGGACCACAAAAAACAUCAUGACGUGACUCGUGUUCCCGACUAGUUCAUGAUCUGGUAGGGGAGACAAUUGAGUCAAUACUAUCUACCUGCCGGUGUGUUAAGUUUUGUUUAAGGAAAUGUAUGGCUCAUUCAUCCACUCAUUUGAUCAAUAUUUGAUGAGUAUCUAUUCUGUUCUAAGUUUUUACUCAGCACUGGGGACUCAAGAGCAUGUUUGGGUAGCUAUAAUUUAACAGACAUAUGAUAAACAAAUACAUAGAGAAAGUCCAAUUGUGUUUCAAGUUGCAAAUUAGGCACAUGCAGCUCUUUUCCGCUACACAUGGUUCUAAGUGCAGAGGAAAGAGUCGAGCCUCUGAAGCAUCACCUCUCAGCCCACUGAUAUCUGAAGCUCCUUUCUCACUCAAAGAUACUCUUAGAAUAAAGAGACCUUUUUUAUAUGCUUGGUAUGGGCUGUGAUGAAGUAACCAAGUGUUCUGAACAGUGGCCUUGAAGUGCCUCACAAUCAAAGGCCUCCCCAGGCCCCACUCCUGCCUUCUGAGUAAUGACAGAAAGUGCCAAAUUCGAUCCAAAUACAUGUGGAGGCAGGGGUGGGCAGCUGACUCAGCCACCACCCUGACACACUCUAUGAUCUGUCUUCCUACUGUAGGCUCUCAACGUAAAAUCUCUAAGAGCAGAGUCCCCAUCUGUUCUUAUCACUCUACACCCAAAAUCCAGCACAGUGCCUAGAACAUGGAAAGUGAUCAAUAAAUACAUGUUAAAUGAACAACUAGAAAACAACAUAAUUAGGAUAAGAAAAGUGCUAUAAAAAUAAAUAGAUCAUCUGAUAGCAAAUUACACUGUAGGGAAAGGGCGGAUAUAAAAAAGAGUUAACAAAGCAGUCUUGAAGGUCUGUGUGAGACCUCCAGGGUAUCUAAGGUUUACAAGGUUGGCCCUUGGCUGGUGUAGUGGUUUUCUGGGGCUGCCAUUACAAACUGCCACAAAAUAGGUGGCUUAAAAUAACAGAAAUUGACUCCCACACCGUUCUGGAGGCUGGAAAUCCCAAAUCCAGCAGGACCUUGCUUCCUUUGCUUCCUCAGGGAGCUCUAGGGGAGAAACUGUCCCUUGCCUCUUUCAGCUUUUGGCAACCCCAGGCAUUCCUUGACUUGUGGCAGCAGCAUUCCCAUCUCAGCCUCCAUGGUCACAUUGUCUUCUCCUCUUCUGUCUGCCAAAUUGUUCCUUAUAAGGGAUACUUGUCUCUUAUGAGGACACUUGUCACUGGAUUUAGGUCCCACCCAGAUAAUCCAGGAUGAUGUCUUCAUCCCAAGAUCCUUAAUUAAUUACAUCUGCAAAGACCCUUGUCCAAAUAAGGCCACAUUCACAGCUUCUGAGAAUUCGAUGUGGGCAGAUCUUUAAAGGCACCAUUUUUCAACUCACUACAGCUGGUAUCUGCCAACUUACAUCUUAAACAGUUCCCUACACUGAUAUAAACUUUCCCUAAAUGAUAAGAGUGGCCCAUUAUGCCUAGAUUGUUUGUACAAUGUGGUUUAUUCUAGGCAGCUGCUUGUUCUUCUGGGUCUGGAGUUUUGGUACAUGCUAGGCAGAGAAGAUCUACAUAACCAGCCCCCAUUAAAAACACUGGCAGUGAAUCUCUUACAAAUUCCUGGUUUGAUAACAUUUCACACACAUUGUCACAAUCCAGUGUUGGAGGAUUGACACACAUCCCAUGUGACUCCCCUGAGCGAAGCUCCUGGAAGCUUGUGCCUGGUUUCCACCAGACUUUGCCCCAUGCAUCUCUUUCUUUGGCUGAUUUUGCCUUGGAUCAUCCUAGUCCUAGCUGUGAGUAUGACGAUAUGCAUAGUCUUAGGAAUCCUCCUGGUGAACCAACAGACCUGUGGGUGGUCGUGGGGACACCCGAUGCAGGGGUCUACUUAAUGAGGCACAAGGGAAGUCUUCUCAGAGAGAUGGUAUUUGAGCUGAGACCCAGGAUGGAGAUCACACAGCCCAUUUGUGAUAGGGCUGGUGUUAAAGCUCAGUUUCCUCAUCUGUAAAAUGGGGAUGUUAACAAAGUCUCAGCAGAAGAUGCACGACACUGUCAAACUGGGUUAUUGGAGGAAAAUGCAUAAAGGGAUUAGGCACGAAGGUGUGGUCAGGAUUUAAGAAAACCAACAUAGGAUGAUGCAGUACCCUUGGGCUACAAACACUGGAAAGCUGGUAACACCGUAGGCCUGAAAGGCAAGUUGAGGGAGUUGUUACCUGAAUCCAGAGAAGGCAUUUGUAUGAAGGGGACUGCCUGAUCAGAGCCAGAGAUCAUGGCAACCUGGUGAGAAGCAAGCCAGGUAAAUACGUGUUCUGACCUCACUCUCUUCUGAUCCUCUACUCUUCUGCCAGUGGUUUCCACUGGUUAAGCCCAACUAGACACCUGAAAGUAAGGAAGACAGCUAAUGAGGUCCACAGGGGUCAGCCUCCUAGGGAAUAAAGCAGGGUGGAGAAGGGCAGACAGUGGAUCUAGAGGGGAAAGGGGGAAAUACCCAGCACAGUGGUGGUGAUAGCCUCUACCUCCAUGAGGUUGUUAUGAAGUUUACAUGAGAUGAUACAUGUCAAGGGAGAACUUAGUACAUCGUCUGGAAUAAUGUGAAUGCCAGAUCACUGUUUUAUAGAUGUUGAUAAUAAAGAUGAAGAGGAAGAAGAUGAAGGGGAGGAGGAAAAGGAUGAAGAGAAGAAUAAGGAGAAGGAAGACAAGGAGGAAAAGGUGGAGGGAAAAUGAGAAAAAGAAAGAAGCCCCUUGAGAGCAAGAAUAUUUUUAUUGUACCUAAAACAAUUCCUGGCAUGUGAUAGACAAUAAAUAUGUUAAAUCAUUGCAUUAUAUAAGGGUCCUUAUAUCCAGAUUCUAAACCUUGACUCAACACAGGGAUUUGGUCUUUGAGACACAGAAUAACUGGUGGGAGUCCUUAGUCAAAACCUUAAUUUUACAGAUGUUAACUGAAAGGAAAUUACUUUCCCAAAGACACACAGUAAGUUCAAGCAAGAGCUGACAGCAAGAUCCAGAUGUUUUGAUUCCAGUCCAGUUCUCUUUAAAUACAGCCAGUCUGCCUCCAGGGAUGUCCAUCUGAUAACCCCUACAAUGUAUCCAGCAUCGAGGCUGAGAGAUGGGUUGGUCCUCGCCUAUCUCCAAAACUAUCAGAGUAAAAGGCUGGGGGUCUUCCUUCCGGGCUCACCAGCAGCUUGUUAAUCCUGGUGUUAUAGAAAUAAUACAGACCCAAUCAUGGAUCAUAGAGCUCUGGAUAGAUAUGUAGCUGCCUGUGCUCUGGCAGCACAGAACACUGGCUGUUGGGCUCAUAGCAACUGACAGACAGUGGAACUCCUUUCCAUCCCACAAGAUGCUGGGAGCAUCUUCACAUCUCUGUUUAUUUUUAAAAAGUAGGGUGGCAUUCGGGAGGCAGAGCUUGCAAUGAGCCAAGAUAGCGCCACUGCACUCCGGCCUGGGUGAAAAAGCAAGACUGUGUCUCAAAAAAAAAAAAAAAGAAAAGAAAAAAGAAAAAAA